UACAGAGGGGGCAAGCGUUAUUCGGAAUUAUUGGGCGUAAAGGGCGCGUAGGCGGCUUGGCAAGUGGAAGGUGAAAUCCCUUGGCUUAACCGAGGAACUGCCCUCCAAACUGCUUUGCUUGAGGCCGGGAGAGGUGAGUGGAAUUCCCAGUGUAGCGGUGAAAUGCGUAGAUAUUGGGAGGAACACCAGUGGCGAAGGCGGCUCACUGGACCGGUUCUGACGCUGAGGCGCGAAAGCGUGGGGAGCAAACGGG
rnacentral:rRNA from 1 species